rnacentral:rRNA from 1 species
AGCGGAGGAAAAGAAACCAACAGGGAUUGCCUCAGUAACGGCGAGUGAAGCGGCAACAGCUCAAAUUUGAAAUCUGGCUCCUUCGGGGUCCGAGUUGUAAUUUGCAGAGGAUGCGUCGGGUACGGGUCCCUACCGAGUUCCCUGGAACGGGACGCCAUAGAGGGUGAGAGCCCCGUCUGGUAGGAUACCCAGCCCAUGUGACGCUCCCUCGACGAGUCGAGUAGUUUGGGAAUGCUGCUCUAACGGGAGGUAUACUCCUUCCAAAGCUAAAUACCGGCUGGAGACCGAUAGCGCACAAGUAGAGUGAUCGAAAGAUGAAAAGCACUUUGAAAAGAGAGUCAAACAGCACGUGAAAUUGUUAAAAGGGAAGCACUCGCUACCAGACUUGGGUUUGGCGGUUCAACCGGGGCCACGCCCCGGGGCAUUCCGCCAGCUCAGGCCAGCAUCAGCUUUCCGUCGGGGGCAAAGACGUCGGGAAUGUGGCUCCCCUUCGGGGGAGUGUUAUAGCCCGGCGUGUCAUACCCUUCGGGGGGCUGAGGUACGCGCUUCUGCAAGGAUGCUGGCGUAAUGGUAGCUAGUGACCCGUCUUGAAACACGGACCAAGGAGUCAACCUUAUGUGCGAGUGCCCGGGCGUAAAACCCCAGCGCGGAAUGAAAGUGAACGUAGGUGAGAGCUUCGGCGCAUCACCGACCGAUCCUGAUGUCCUCGGACGGAUUUGAGUGAGAGCAUAUAGGGUUGGACCCGAAAGAAGAUGAACUAUGCGUGUGUAGGGUGAAGCCAGAGGAAACUCUGGUGGAGGCUCGCAGCGGUUCUGACGUGCAAAUCGAUCGUCAAACAUGCGCAUGGGGGCGAAAGACUAAUCGAAUCUGCUG